rnacentral:rRNA from 1 species
UACGUAGGUGGCAAGCGUUGUUCGGAAUAACUGGGCGUAAAGGAUGCGUAGGCGGUUGAAUAAGUUAUGUGUUAAAUAUAUAGGCUUAAUCUAUAGAAAGCACAUAAAACUGUUCAACUAGAGUACAGGAGAGGUAAGUGGAAUUCCUAGUGUAGCGGUGAAAUGCGUAGAGAUUAGGAAGAACACCAGUGGCGAAGGCGACUUACUGGACUGUAACUGACGCUGAGGCAUGAGAGCAUGGGGAGCAAACAGG